UACAGAGGUCCCGAGCGUUGUUCGGAUUCACUGGGCGUAAAGGGUGCGUAGGUGGCAUGGUAAGUUUGAUGUGAAAGCUCAGGGCUCAACCCUGAAAUGGCAUUGAAUACUACUGUGCUGGAGGUUUGGAGGGGGGACUGGAAUUCUUGGUGUAGCAGUGAAAUGCGUAGAUAUCAAGAGGAACACCAGUGGCGAAGGCGAGUCCCUGGACAACACCUGACACUGAGGCACGAAAGCCGGGGGAGCAAACAGGAUUAGAAACCCCUGUAGUCC
rnacentral:rRNA from 1 species